ensembl:misc_RNA Metazoa_SRP Metazoan signal recognition particle RNA
GCCGGGCAUGGUGGUGGAUGCCUGUAAUCCCAGCUACUCGGGAGGCUGAGGCAGGAGAAUUGUUUGAACCCAGGAGGUGGAGGUUGCAGUCAUCAUGCCACUGUGCUCUAGCCUGGGUUACAUAGCCAGACCCUGUCUCAA